rnacentral:rRNA from 1 species
GAUGAACGCUGGCGGCGUGCCUAAUACAUGCAAGUCGAGCGAACAGAUGAGGAGCUUGCUCCUCUGACGUUAGCGGCGGACGGGUGAGUAACACGUGGAUAACCUACCUAUAAGACUGGGAUAACUUCGGGAAACCGGAGCUAAUACCGGAUAAUAUAUUGAACCGCGUGGUUCAAUAGUGAAAGACGGUUUUGCUGUCACUUAUAGAUGGAUCCGCGCCGCAUUAGCUAGUUGGUAAGGUAACGGCUUACCAAGGCAACGAUGCGUAGCCGACCUGAGAGGGAGUGCGGCCAGCCGGGAAGAGAGCACGGGCCGAGACUCCGGGGGGGGGCAACGGUGGGGAUUCUUCCGCGAGGGAGGAAGGCCGAACGGAGCACCGCGGCGGAAAGAAUGAUGGUGUACGGACGGGAAACUGUUGUUAUUAGGAAAGAAAAAAUGUGAAAGUACCUGUGAUGGUAUUGACGGUACCUAAUCAAAAAGCCCCGGCUAACUCCGUG